UAAUACGAAGGGGGCUAGCGUUGUUCGGAAUUACUGGGCGUAAAGCGCACGCAGGCGGUUUGUUAAGUCAGAUGUGAAAUUCCCCGGGCUCAACCUGGGAACUGCAUUUGAAACUGGCAAGCUAGAGUCUCGUAGAGGGGGGUAGAAUUCCAGGUGUAGCGGUGAAAUGCGUAGAGAUCUGGAGGAAUACCGGUGGCGAAGGCGGCCCCCUGGACGAAGACUGACGCUCAGGUGCGAAAGCGUGGGGAGCAAACAGGAUUAGAUACCCUGGUAGUCCACGCUGUAAACGAUGUCGAUUUGGAGGUUGUGCCCUUGAGGCGUGGCUUCCGGAGCUAACGCGUUAAAUCGACCGCCUGGGGAGUACGGCCGCAAGGUU
rnacentral:rRNA from 1 species